AAAUAUGUCUGAUAAAAGAAUUACUUUGAUAGAGUAAACGAUAGAGGUUACAGCCCUCUUGUUUCUA
rnacentral:tRNA from 1 species